CUUUCUAGCCCUAAACCCUACUAACCCUAAACCCUACUAAACCUUAACCCUACUAACCCUAAACCCUACAUAACCCUCAACUGUAGCUAACCCUAAAACCUAUUAGUCCUAAACCCUACCAACCCUAAACCCUACCUAGCCCUAAACCCUACUAACCCUAAACCCUACCUACCCUAAACCCUUUUUAACCCUAAACCCUGCUAACCCUAAACUCUGUCUAAACCUAACCCUAAAACCCUACCUAAACCUAACCAUAAAUCCCGCUAAAACUCUACCAACCCUAAACACUAAAAAAUAAUCUCAAAAUUUAAAGUUAAAAAAACCUAAACUCUACCGCUAUGUAAUUUGUUGUUGUGAUAUUCAAAUAACAAAUUACAUAGCGGAUUUUAAAUCUUACAUCCGUUAUUUUAAUUGCCAAAAUAUUUUGAAAGUUGUAUUUUAUGAAUAAAAAAGUUAAAUUAUAUUUUAAUAACGUUAAAUUUUGUUAAAAUAGAAUGAAAAACUAUUAUCAUAAAUAAAUAAAGAAUUUUGAUGAAAUUUAAAAAUCUUCGAAUCGAUAACAAUUAAUUAGUAAUAUUUCAAAAACCCUUAAACUAUUAUAGCAGCAGAAUCUCAAAAAAAAAAUUAAAGUUCUCAAACAUUUAUUUGCCAAUAACCAUCAUUAAAUCUUUGCUAAUUCACAAAAAAUAAUAUUCUUUACGUAAAUUGGAAACAAGUUUUGUUUUUUGACUAGAGACCCAAGUUUAAAUUAUACCACUAAAAUAUUUUAAUAUUUAAUUAUUCAGAAAUAACAAGUUAAUGUUCUUAAAACAAUAACCAUUCUUAAAUCUUUGCUCAUUCAAAAAAAUAAUAUUCUUUACAUAAAUUGGAAACAAGUUUUGUUUUUUUUGACUAGAGACCCAAGUUUAAAUUAUACCACUAAAAUAUUUUAAUAUUUAAUUGUUCAGAAAUAUAUAUUUAUAUAUUCGAGAGUAUACAAUGCAUAGAUGAUACUAAACUGAUUGCAAGAAUUCUUUUUGUAAAACACAAUAUAAGUAGUAUAGUAUUCAAAGAACUUUUCAAAAAUUUAGAAAAAAUUUUAAGCCCGCAUCGCGGGCAAAACACCUAGUUAUUUAUUAUUUUCAAAGUUUAAUUGUCAUAUGUCAUACAUAAUGGGCAAUGGCCCAGAAAAGAAGCUCCACUAACAUCAUGUUCAUUCGAGCAACUUUUGGGAGAUGGUUUGCUUGUCACCAAAGUAACCCUUGACUUCAAUCAACACACGAUAACCUUCUUCCUUAAUAGCUGUUACGUUAUUCUUUUUCAACAAAAGAGGAUCAGGGAUUGAGAAAUCCUCGGCGUCAAAAAUAACAUAUGUGGGACGCAAAAUCUCUUCUCUGGGUGGGUUGGGGAAAAGCCUGUCCAUCGUUUCGUCGGCUACAAGAAAAUAGGAGAGCCUAUUUAGGGUUAAAAACCCUGCUAAAACAUGGGGCAAGCAUGGGCCUUUGAUAGCCCACCAAAAGAAGGCCUCCGGAUUCAUAACUAUACAUGGAUUCUUUUUUUUCUUGGUCAAAUACUUUUAUGGAUUCAAAAUUUCAGAUUUAAAAAGUUGUAUGAAGUUAUUCAAAUAGAAUUAUAAUUUUGCAUAAUAAAUUAAUUUCAUUGUAUAUCUAGAUUGUUGAACAAAAAAAAAAAAAAAUCUAGAUAAAAUAAUCGUGGCAAAAGCACGUACUAUAGAGAUUUUUGGUUAGCUAUUUUUUUUGUGUGAUUGGAAAUGUUCUUUAAUCAAGUUGGAAACUUAAAUAAUUUUCUUUGUUGUGAUAGAUGUGAAAAACUCUGCAAAACAUCAAUAGAUUCCAAUGGAUACAGGAUGUGUGGUUAGGACAGGUCUCAGAGAAGCUAAAACUGUUCCUUUGGUCUUGUGUUCGAUAACCUGAGAAGACGCGGAAUUAUGGUAGACAUUUGUUGUCCAAGAUGCUAGGAGGAGGAAACCACCAUCCAUCUCCUUUUCUUAUGCCCUUAUGCGCAGGAAGUCUAGAGCCUAAUACCACUUUCGGCGCCAAUUAACAUAGAAGAGUUUGAGAACAUCACAAAGGCAAUGGUUAGCAUCAGGAAAAUAGUUUGCUUUUCUCCUACAAGUAUCAUCGGCUCGAUCUUUUCAUGGAUAUGUUGGGCUAUCUGAAUGGCGAGAAACCCACUUAUUUUUGAGAAUUGCUCAACAUCACCAACUGAAACAUCAACAAAAGGCCUUGCACCAGCUAGAGAGUGGAAUAUAGGACAAGCAACACACGACAAACAACAAAACAGCAAAGCCACAGUCUUUAAAAGAAUAUAUCUAACUGACGAUCACAGUCUCGAAAUGAUCUGUUUCACAUAUGCAUCUUGGGAAAAAUCGAGUAAAUGAUCUGGUCUUGCAUGGGUUUUCAAAGAUACCCGCACUAAGAUCAACCACAAGGAAUCAAAGAUACAAGACUUCGUCUCUUCUCCUCUGAUGGCAGAAGCCAUCAGAUCGACAUCAUCACUUGGCAUAUCUUCUAUACAAGUACACUCCGACAAUCAAACGCUUAUCAAAGCUAUCACCAACAAGCUGAUGGGUUGACCGAUCGGCGCAAAUUCGCAGAUUCAAAGCAUAAUUCAACAAAAUUUAUAUUAAUAUAUAUUUUUUAAUCAUUAGUUUAUAUAGUUUGCUUUCAUCCGAAACUAGUAGCAGUAAAUUACUUCUCAAAACGCAACUCAUCUUCCAAACUCAUAGAUUUAAAUCAUAGUCGCAUCUAAAUACUUGUAGAGCUAUCAUAUCUCGGUAAAGGGUCUAGCUAUCUGUCGACAUAAAGUCUCUAAACUAUCACUCACAAUAUUGACAUCAUUCAAUUGCGUAGAAAGGAAUACAAAUUAUCCGAUUAAGAAGAUUGAUUAUGGCUUUUGCUUUACUCACACUGCUGCCAUUUAUAUGGACACCUUGUCGUCCUCUGAGAGACAUAAUGGCUAAAUAAUAAUUAUAUUUUUGAAAAUUUAUCAACAAUGAUGACCUACCAAAACAUAAUAAUUCACUACUACUAUACUAUAGGUUCGUUUUUUUUUUUGAAUUACCAGGAAGUUCAACAGAAGCCCUAAUUUCCCUAGUUCCGAAACCGCAUCAUAUAAUACUCUCUCCAUUUCAACAUAGAUGAUUUUUUAGGUCAUUGUUUUUGUUUCACAAUAGAUGAUAUUUUCACAUAUCUAGAUAACUUUAACUUUAUCAAAAACUGUGUAGCUAAUUUUUUUUUUUUUUAAUAAUUAAAUAAAUUAGUUUUAAAUUAAUUUUAAUGAUUUUUGUUUACAUAAUCUAAUUUUCUUAAUAUAUGUGCAAAGAACCAAAACUUCAUUUAUUAUGAAACAGAGGAAAUUAUUAGUUUUGUUCCAGCGGUUAUUCGAUCUAGAGAUUUCUGACACAAUGAUCGUGAUCUUUUACCGUUGAGCUAAUGACCUGUGGUUCGAUUCUGGCAUCCGAAACUAGUAGCAGUAAAUUACUUCUCAAAACGCAACUCAUCUUCCAAACUCAUAGAUUUAAAUCAUAGUCGCAUCUAAAUACUUGUAGAGCUAUCAUAUCUCGGUAAAGGGUCUAGCUAUCUGUCGACAUAAAGUCUCUAAACUAUCACUCACAAUAUUGACAUCAUUCAAUUGCGUAGAAAGGAAUACAAAUUAUCCGAUUAAGAAGAUUGAUUAUGGCUUUUGCUUUACUCACACUGCUGCCAUUUAUAUGGACACCUUGUCGUCCUCUGAGAGACAUAAUGGCUAAAUAAUAAUUAUAUUUUUGAAAAUUUAUCAACAAUGAUGACCUACCAAAACAUAAUAAUUCACUACUAAAUUAUAGGUUCAGUUUUUUUUUUUAAUUACGAGGAGGUUCAACCGAAUCUCUAAUUUUUCUAGUCCCAAAACCAGCAGUCAUUCGAUCUAGGGAUUUCUGACACAAUGAUCGUGAUCAUUUACCGUUGAGUUAAUGACCUCUGGUUUGAUUCCAAUUUCUUCUUUAUGUUUGUUUGGUUCAAUAAAAUGGAAACUCAAUCAGCUAGAGAUGAAAUUAAUUCAAAUGAAGUGUCUAGUAUUGGUUUGUUUGUUUAGUCUUAGGUUUAAUGAAAUUUAUAGUAUGGUUUGAAUUUAAAUUGGUCAAGAGUAAUAUACAAAUAAGUACUAUAGAUUAUAACUGAUAUUGAAUUACACGACAUUAUUAAUACAUAUUUCAGUAUUAGUUUUUAUCAUAAAUAUGACUUAAAUAAAAUGUCACUAUGUCAGUAUAUAUAGUUCGAUUUUUUUCCAGUACAUUUUAGAUUCGGUAUGUUCCAAUUUUCAUAGAACCGAUAACUUUUUCCUUUAAACAAUGAUUUUGAAUGAUCUUGAUUUGAAUAAUUCGGUUAUGUCUAAAUAUGCACUCCUAAUCAUAGAUCCCAUGUUUGGGUGUAUAUAUAAUUAAAUCCAAGCACGUGCUUAUACAUUGUUCCGGAAUUAUAUUGCAUGGAAAGUUAACGAGAUAUGGUAUUCUAUACUAUAUACUCGUGUAUAUGUAAGUAUUGUAACAUCAUUAUUUGAAAAGUAACAGUUCUCAUGUUAUACAAUACUAUAAAAAUCAUAAAACCAAAAAAAUAAACAUUAUAAAAUCGAGCAUAUAGUAAAUUGUGUUAAACAUUGAAUUCAAGUUUGACCAAGUCAAAUGAUAAAGCUGCUUGGAUCCACAUCUCCCAAACCAAACACAUGUCUUCACUCUUUUGUCUUUAGAUUUUUGUGGCUUCACUUCUUUUGUUUCUUUCUCGACUUCAGUUGAAACUCCAUAGCACAUAAAGAAAAGGUUCAGUGUUGAACAAGAAAUGUGAUUGCUCUUGGCUUUAUUCGGAAUUGCGGAAUGUGUGCAACAAUCAACGCCCUCAAAAUAUAUAAAUUAUUCAUAAAAAAAUAUUUCGAAAUUUGAAACAAAACCAAAACGAUAUUUAAAUUAUUCAAUAUAUAAAUAGAUAUACAAAAUAACGAUUGGCCGGUGCCAUUUUGAAUGCGUUCAGCGAUAGUUAUAAUUUUAUUACUUUCAAGUUUCGACGUAACACUCCACUCUACUCUAUUAUUGACAUCUUUCUACUUCCGGCUCUGUUUUGUUGACACGCAAGUACACCAACUAUGUGUUUGAUUCAAGUUGACAUCAAUCGAAUCAUUAGUAGAAUAAGACUAACUUCUAGGCCUCUUUUGUGGAUUAUGGGUUGAUUGGUAAUGGAUGUAGGGUCGACAUAUCGGUUUAUAGGGUCUUUCUUCUAAUUUUUUUUGUUUCAAAGGGUGAAUAUAGGUAUAUCCUCGUUACUGGCUUUGAUCUUGGUUUAGUCUUAUAGGAUGUAUCUAUGAUUUGUUGAUAAGUCUCUCAAGUGUUGUCAAAGUGCUCAUCAAAAUAUAGCACAAAAUCAUUCCCAUAUUAAGGUGAGAUGAUAUAGAUGGACUCUUCACAUAAUAUAUAAAUGGACAAAUUUUUAUCAACAAUGAUGACCUACCAAAACAUAAUAAUUCACUACUAAAUUAUAGGUUCAGUUUUUUUUUUUAAUUACGAGGAGGUUCAACCGAAUCUCUAAUUUUUCUAGUCCCAAAACCAGCAGUCAUUCGAUCUAGGGAUUUCUGACACAAUGAUCGUGAUCAUUUACCGUUGAGUUAAUGACCUCUGGUUUGAUUCCAAUUUCUUCUUUAUGUUUGUUUGGUUCAAUAAAAUGGAAACUCAAUCAGCUAGAGAUGAAAUUAAUUCAAAUGAAGUGUCUAGUAUUGGUUUGUUUGUUUAGUCUUAGGUUUAAUGAAAUUUAUAGUAUGGUUUGAAUUUAAAUUGGUCAAGAGUAAUAUACAAAUAAGUACUAUAGAUUAUAACUGAUAUUGAAUUACACGACAUUAUUAAUACAUAUUUCAGUAUUAGUUUUUAUCAUAAAUAUGACUUAAAUAAAAUGUCACUAUGUCAGUAUAUAUAGUUCGAUUUUUUUCCAGUACAUUUUAGAUUCGGUAUGUUCCAAUUUUCAUAGAACCGAUAACUUUUUCCUUUAAACAAUGAUUUUGAAUGAUCUUGAUUUGAAUAAUUCGGUUAUGUCUAAAUAUGCACUCCUAAUCAUAGAUCCCAUGUUUGGGUGUAUAUAUAAUUAAAUCCAAGCACGUGCUUAUACAUUGUUCCGGAAUUAUAUUGCAUGGAAAGUUAACGAGAUAUGGUAUUCUAUACUAUAUACUCGUGUAUAUGUAAGUAUUGUAACAUCAUUAUUUGAAAAGUAACAGUUCUCAUGUUAUACAAUACUAUAAAAAUCAUAAAACCAAAAAAAUAAACAUUAUAAAAUCGAGCAUAUAGUAAAUUGUGUUAAACAUUGAAUUCAAGUUUGACCAAGUCAAAUGAUAAAGCUGCUUGGAUCCACAUCUCCCAAACCAAACACAUGUCUUCACUCUUUUGUCUUUAGAUUUUUGUGGCUUCACUUCUUUUGUUUCUUUCUCGACUUCAGUUGAAACUCCAUAGCACAUAAAGAAAAGGUUCAGUGUUGAACAAGAAAUGUGAUUGCUCUUGGCUUUAUUCGGAAUUGCGGAAUGUGUGCAACAAUCAACGCCCUCAAAAUAUAUAAAUUAUUCAUAAAAAAAUAUUUCGAAAUUUGAAACAAAACCAAAACGAUAUUUAAAUUAUUCAAUAUAUAAAUAGAUAUACAAAAUAACGAUUGGCCGGUGCCAUUUUGAAUGCGUUCAGCGAUAGUUAUAAUUUUAUUACUUUCAAGUUUCGACGUAACACUCCACUCUACUCUAUUAUUGACAUCUUUCUACUUCCGGCUCUGUUUUGUUGACACGCAAGUACACCAACUAUGUGUUUGAUUCAAGUUGACAUCAAUCGAAUCAUUAGUAGAAUAAGACUAACUUCUAGGCCUCUUUUGUGGAUUAUGGGUUGAUUGGUAAUGGAUGUAGGGUCGACAUAUCGGUUUAUAGGGUCUUUCUUCUAAUUUUUUUUGUUUCAAAGGGUGAAUAUAGGUAUAUCCUCGUUACUGGCUUUGAUCUUGGUUUAGUCUUAUAGGAUGUAUCUAUGAUUUGUUGAUAAGUCUCUCAAGUGUUGUCAAAGUGCUCAUCAAAAUAUAGCACAAAAUCAUUCCCAUAUUAAGGUGAGAUGAUAUAGAUGGACUCUUCACAUAAUAUAUAAAUGGACAAAUUACAAAAGCUGUUACAUUUGUUUCUUUUUAUGGUUAGUAUGAUCUAUUGUUAAUUUGAAUCCAAAGUCUGCUGAACGAUCUCAUUCAUAGAUGGCAACAUCAACUUUUUUAAGUAUCUAAACCUGUACUAUAAUAGGUGUAGGCAAGACUGUAAACGUUCAAAGUCUACUAAGUAUCUAACUAGAAAAAGUGCCAAUUUACGUAGAAAUUAGAGGGCAUGUAAUCUAUAUCACACAUAAGUACAGCAGAUAAUAGAUAAGAUUUACAUUUACAGAGAGGAAAAUAAAAAGGUGUGUUCUAUUUUUCAAAGUCUGUGCAUAUGUUCCCACUGCUUCACGCCUACGCAACCCUUCUCUUCUUUUUUCUUUCUUUCAGAUCUUCUUUACCUCUUUCUUUUUGCUUUUUUCCAUGUUACCAUGUUUCCAUGUCAUGCUUCUUUAUUUUAUUUUUUCAAAAAGAAUACGUAUCUACCCAUUAGAUAUGCAAAACUCCCUAUAAUCGAAGUACAUACAGUGAGGGCUUCAUUGAAAAUUGAAACUACGGUUUCUUUCUUUCUUUUGGAAUUUUAAACAACUACAAAAUCCGAAACUCUGGUCUGGAAGUACAAAAAUCUAAGUACUUAUAAAACUGGGAAGUAAAGGUAAGAAAUUAACAAGUUCAAUUCAUAAUUAUAAAAAUAAACAAAAUAAUUCCGAUGUUUUUAUUACAACCCCAUUAGAAAAACUAUGAAAUUAAGACAACAAACAACAAAAAUCCCCCACCCAACACAUUUUGAAACUUAACAUGUCGACUAAAGUGAAAUCUUUCUAACCCUAAACCCUUUCUAGCCCUAAACCCUACUAACCCUAAACUGUAGCUAACCCUAAACCCUACCAACCCUAAACCCUACCUAAACCUAAACCCUACUAACCCUAAACCCUACUUAACCCUAAACCCUACCUACCCUAAACCCUUUUUAACCCUAAACCCUGCUAACCCUAAACCCUUCCUAAACCUAACCCUAAAACCCUACCUAAACCUAACCAUAAAUCCCGCUAAAACU
rnacentral:lncRNA from 1 species